UCCCUCUUCGCUCCCGGCUUUGCGGCGCUGCCUUGCACGGCGUGUCCCUGCCGCGGGGUCCGUGCGGGCUGGGUGAGAAUUUCCCUUUGCGGUCUCCAUUUCCCAUUCUCGCCCGCGGUGACGGAGCGGCGCCCAGCCUCGGGAGAGAGGCCGUAACGCCGCGAGGAGAGCGCUGCUCGGCUCCUUCCAGUGCGGACGAGGCCCCUUCACCUGGCAAAUCGAGCGGCUGUUUUCAUCUUAAUUCGCCUUCCCUGCCAGCAGAGCCAGAGAAACAGGCCAUGCUACAUUAUCGGACCACGGAGAAAGAGGAACCGAGCGAGAUCGCUUGCGCACUGAUGCAGAAAUUCGGAGGCAGUAGCGGUUUUCAUUUGUUCUGGACUCUGGCAGAGUUUUCCACAUUCUUCUGCCGUUCCACUAUAUUGCUUCUUUAAAGCAGGAUUAUAAUCACUUUGAGGCCAGGUUUUAAAAAAAAAUCACUCCCUCUCCACCACCAGAGGAAUGACCUACAUCGUUGACCACAAAUAUCCCUUCAAGGAGCUACAUUCUUUGCAAAACUAAUUUGUUUUAUUUUUAACCAAAGAAAGACAAAAUAAUCAUGAAAACCUAAAACCCAGUUGAAGCAGAGAGAAAAAAUUAAAGGGGUGACUUUGUUCUGUUAGCAGUUCCAAGACUGUUUUCAUCCCAAAUACAGAUCGCAUUUGCCAACAUAUUUUGCAUUUUACAUUCCAGUAAAACUUGCCACUGUACACAUACCAGUUUCAGUAGAAAAUAUUGGAAAUAUAGUGGUAAGGGGGAGGUGAGACCUAGACUCUGUAUUAUGAAUUAUAUGAAGCAUAUCAAAGGAGAUCUGCUUCUUCAAGGGCCAGAGGACCUUGAGCCAGGCAGCCUUGCCAGAUUAUCAGAUUUAUGUGGGUGACAGCUGUAAAGGACUGAGAGCAUUCAGCAGAGAGAGGGAACUGGGGUUCUGCAGUAGAUUCUGAAGCAGGCAGCUUGAAGGGAAGAGUGUCUCUUCCUUUCAAAAUGGAGAGACAGCAGAAAAGCCUCUGGGAGCUGUGGCACAUGGGCAGAGGAACUACUUUUUCAUGUUUUGUCUAAUUUUUGUUUGAUAAAACAGUGCUCUGAAAGACUGUGCAUGGCAGAGUGUCAAAGGGUAAGGGAAACACCCCCCCAAAUUCAGGCAUCCAUGUGGCUGCAUCUCUGACAUAAAAAGAAAGCUGUACUUUGCACUGGUGGCAUUUUUCCUUGCUUGAAACUGGCAAAUACAUUGGUGCAGCUACAACAAUGGUUGAAAUCAGGGCUAAUUUCCAGGCUAGACAAACCUGUAAGUGGUUAUCCCUAAAGAUCUGCACAGCCAGCAGUGGAGGUCAAGUCAGAAGAUUCUGCCCCCAAGACAGGUUCUUGGGUCUGGAACUCAGUUUUAAGCAGCUGGUUCCCAAAGAUUUGUGGGAGUUUGGCCUUGUUUAUGUUGGUUAGGAAUGUGAAAAAAAUUAUAUUUCUCACUGGCAUUGCUAUGCCAGCUAAAACCCCCGUCUCGAUAAAGUUAAAAGUUAUUUUGGAGGUAUAGCUUAUUUCAUUUGUAUAAGCAAUAUUGGCCAAACAAACCCUCUUUCACCAGUGUAGACUGGCUUUUUGCUAGGAAGGUUUGCCUGUAUAGUUCUAAUUAAGAGACCAAGGUGUGGUUGGGAGAGUCAGACACUGUAAUGAAUCUUAAGAAGCACACAUCUUUUGUAGGGAAAAUGGAUUCCUGGUUCCAAACUCCACUCCUUUAAUGGCUUGGUAUUCUCAAGCUCAGUUCUUGUUCUUACAUUUGAAAGGAGAAACUUACAAAUUCUGUUACAUGCAAUCUUUACUCUGCCUGAAUCUGAAGAAGAGCUUGGUGUAAGCUUCUCUCUCUCACCAACAGGAGUUGGUCCAGUGAAAGAUACUACCUCACCCACCUUGUGUAAUCUUGGCCAGUUAGUCCCUUUCCUUCCGCCGUCCUGCCCAAAAUGUCCACUGUCCAAGUCUUCCCCCACAUUCCUUUAAUUACCUCCUGCUUUGUUACCACUGUCUCUUUCUCCUUGGGGAAUUUCCAGUCACUGCACUUUCCCCCUGCCUUCAGACAAGAGCAUGCAGCAUCUUCUCCCCAUCCCAUUGUGCUUCACUUGGAAUAAGUGGUUAAAGAAUU